UACGAAGGGGGGCUAGCGUUGCUCGGAAUUACUGGGCGUAAAGGAGGCGUAGGCGGACGAUUUAAGUCAGGGGUGAAAUCCCAGAGCUCAACUCUGGAACUGCCUUUGAUACUGGAUGUCUUGAGUGUGAGAGAGGUAUGUGGAACUCCGAGUGUAGAGGUGAAAUUCGUAGAUAUUCGGAAGAACACCAGUGGCGAAGGCGACAUACUGGCUCAUUACUGACGCUGAGGCUCGAAAGCGUGGGGAGCAAACAGG
rnacentral:rRNA from 1 species